GCUGAUGAGUCCCAAAACAGGACGAAACAGCUGUCC
rnacentral:hammerhead_ribozyme from 1 species